GGACAUCUGGAUCUGGUUGCCCUAGCUGGGAAGUGCAUCUCUCCCCCGGGCUGACAGCGAUCCAUCUCAUCCGGGGGGAGCUGCUCAGGGCAGGCUGAGC